GUAGGGUGCGAGCGUUGUCCGGAAUUAUUGGGCGUAAAGGGCUCGUAGGCGGUUUGUCGCGUCGGGAGUGAAAACCUCGGGCUUAACUCGGGGCUUGCUUUCGAUACGGGCAGACUGGAGGUAUGCAGGGGAGAACGGAAUUCCUGGUGUAGCGGUGAAAUGCGCAGAUAUCAGGAGGAACACCGGUGGCGAAGGCGGUUCUCUGGGCAUGACCUGACGCUGAGGAGCGAAAGUGUGGGGAGCGAACAGGAUUAGAUACCCUGGUAGUCCACACCGUAAACGUUGGGCGCUAGGUGUGGGAUCCAUUCCACGGGUUCCGUGCCGCAGCUAACGCAUUAAGCGCCCCGCCUGGGGAGUACGGCCGCAAGGCUA
rnacentral:rRNA from 1 species